rnacentral:rRNA from 1 species
AUUGAACGCUGGCGGCAUGCUUUACACAUGCAAGUCGAACGGUAACAGGCCGCAAGGUGCUGACGAGUGGCGAACGGGUGAGUAAUGCAUCGGAACGUGCCCAGUCGUGGGGGAUAACGCAGCGAAAGCUGUCCUAAUACCGCAUACGAUCCGUGGAUGAAAGCGGGGGACCGAAAGGCCUCGCGCGAUUGGAGCGGCCGGUGUCAGAUUAGGUAGUUGGUGGGGUAAAGGCCGACCAAGCCAACGAUCUGUACCUGGUCUGAGAGGACGACCAGCCAAACUGGAGCUGAAACACGGGCGAGACGCCGACGGGAUGCAGCAGUGGGAAGUUUUGGAGAAUGAGCGCUAGCCUGAUCCAGCAAGGCCGCGGGCAGGAAGAGGGCCUUCGGGUUGUAAACUGCUAUUGUACGGAACGAAACGGUGCGGGUUAAUACCCUGGGCUAAUGACGGUACCGUAAGAAUAAGCACCGGCUAACUACGUGCCAGCCGCCGCAGUAACAC